GCUAGGCAUGGUGGUGUAUGCCUGUAAUCCCAACAACUCAGAGGUUGAGGCAGGAGGGUCAUAAGUUCAAGGCCAGACUCAGUAACAUAAUGAGGCCCUAAGCAUCUUAGUGAGACCUUGUCUUAA
rnacentral:sRNA from 1 species